rfam:Dictyostelium lacteum strain TK GAOABQK02G6SYV, whole genome shotgun sequence.
GAACUCCUUACAACAAUUUAAAAAGAACUUAUUUCUCAAAACCCUCGAGUUCUG